UGGUGGGGCUGUGGGUGUUCCACCUGCCCCACCCUUGGGGGACAGCCAGGCCCAGCUCCUUGCUCCCAGCCAGGGUCCCGGUUCCAGUCACCCGCUGAGCCGCUGGCGUCCCUCCGGUGACCGAGCCGGAGCUGCCGCAAGGCAGGGGCUGGGUCCCGGCUUCUCCUGGGAGAGCAGAGCCGGGUUUUAGCGGUGCGGCUCCGCCGGCGUCAGCCCGCGCCCGCACCUUCGGGCGCGCUUCGCGGAGGGACGCCGUGGUUUAGCAAGACCAGGCUCUUCUACAAAGCCGGGGCGGGCUCGCGGUCGCUUUGUUGGUCACGCAGUGAUGCCAGUUUGCCGUCCUGUUUCUGACAUCCCCAGUGACACCCCUUCUUCAAUAUACUGUCCUGCCCUUGCUCAUGGGGCACCUCCCCCGCAAUCCCUAAUCACCUGCACGGGGUUCGCGUAAUGCCGCACGUGGGCCAGUCGCCGGGCCAGGCAUCUUGUACUGGAGCAUUGCUCUAGUGGAGAGUUGAGGAGACUGCCUAGUGGCUAGGGCAUGGCAGAGAGUGCUAUUCCAGAGCGCAUGUUUUCCUCUGCAGAGCUAUUCAGGGCUGGAUCAUGCUCCCUUUGAUGUCCAUGGUAAAAUCACUACCAGACUUCACUAGGAAUGGAAGAAUGCCUUGUUCUGUAUAUAGUGACCUGGGAUUGCUGUCUCUCUCCCUGUGCCUGCACCAGACUUACUGAUCUCCUGGGUUAGGAAUAGCAAUGUUACCUGAAGAACUCAUGUGUGUUGGGCGGGGGGGUCAGAUGAGACCUUAAACUACAAUUCUGUAUAUUCUACACACAUAAAGAUAAUUGUAUGAUUUCACUCUGAAAGAUUUAGGAUUUUGGGAUACCGUUUUUAUGAAAAGAUGCUAUAUAAAAUAAAGUUGUGUUGUAGUUACUAAUUUUAUUCCUGACUUCUUGAGAAUGUUUUUUUGUAAUUGUUUGGAUACUU